rnacentral:rRNA from 1 species
UAUGCACGCUGGCGGCGUGCCUAAUACAUGCAAGUCGAGCGAACAGAUAAGGAGCUUGCUCCUUUGACGUUAGCGGCGGACGGGUGAGUAACACGUGGGUAACCUACCUAUAAGACUGGAAUAACUCCGGGAAACCGGGGCUAAUGCCGGAUAACAUUUAGAACCGCAUGGUUCUAAAGUGAAAGAUGGUUUUGCUAUCACUUAUAGAUGGACCCGCGCCGUAUUAGCUAGUUGGUAAGGUAACGGCUUACCAAGGCAACGAUACGUAGCCGACCUGAGAGGGUGAUCGGCCACACUGGAACUGAGACACGGUCCAGACUCCUACGGGAGGCAGCAGUAGGGAAUCUUCCGCAAUGGGCGAAAGCCUGACGGAGCAACGCCGCGUGAGUGAUGAAGGUCUUCGGAUCGUAAAACUCUGUUAUUAGGGAAGAACAAAUGUGUAAGUAACUGUGCACGUCUUGACGGUACCUAAUCAGAAAGCCACGGCUAACUACGUG